rnacentral:rRNA from 1 species
GACGAACGCUGACGGUGUGCUUUAGACAUGCAAGUCGAGCGAGAAAGCCCUUCGGGGUUAGUAAAGCGGCGAACGGGUGAGUAACACGUGGGCAAUCUGCCCCUCGCAGGGGGACAACCGGGGGAAACUCCGGCUAAUACCCCGUAAGCUUCCAGAGUCGCAUGGCUUUGGAAAGAAAGGUAGCUUCGGCCAUCCGGCGAGGGAUGAGCCCGCGGUACAUUAGCUAGUUGGUGGGGUAACGGCCUACCAAGGCGGCGAUGUAUAGCUGGUCUGAGAGGAUGAGUCAGCCACACUGGGACUGAGACACGGCCCAGACUCCGUACGGGAGGCAGCAGUCGGGAAUCUUGCACAAGUGGGCAAAGCCUGAUGCAGCAAACACCGUGUGAGCGAUGAAGGCCCGUAGGGUACGUAAAGCUCGUGUUGGUUGGGGACGAAGGGC